AUAUAUAUAUAUAUGGGUGUGUGAGAGAGGAAGGGAGCUGAAAUAUCCAGGGCUCCACUCCACUUUUCUCCUUUGGACACUUUAUUCCCUGUUUUUGUUACUUUUCUGUUAAUAAAAGCCUCUCCGAGGCCUGACGCCACACCCACUGUGUCUGUCGUUUUUAUAUGAAAAAUAUCCAUAUUUACUAUGUCCCGGGUGGAUGAUGUAGGAUGUAGGAUGUAUCGCAUGUGCCUGUGAGAUAUGCUAGUCUCACGAGUUUGUUAGCAUCCGCCUGGAAUGGCCUCCGCAUACAACAGUUAGCUGAAGUUAGAGAAAAGUGUUUAUAACAUUUUAAAUAUGGAUAUUUUUCUUACAAAAACACAUCGAUUCACUACAGGGGGCCCUUAUUCACCCCCGAAGCCGUGUGAGCCAUGUUUUAUUAUGGAUGGAUGCGCUUCAUUUGAAUAAUUUUGGACUGUUGAAAAAAAAGAAGAAGAAAAAAAAAACUUGCCCACUGCCAUUUAAAAGCUUGGAAGGGCAAUGACAAUUUUUUACUAUAUAACUCUGACUGGAUUUGUCUGAAAGAAGUAAGUCAUCUAGACCUAGAAUGGCUUGAGGGUGAGUAAACCAUGGGCUAAUUUUCAUUUUUGGGUGACCUAACCCUUUAAACGAAAGUGCUUAUCUAAUUACUAAUUUUCACAGAUGGCUGGCUAUAGUGUGUUUUAUUUUUUUGGUGCUUAAAAAAAAAUUGCAUUUUGACUGUUAUCCACAAGAUGACAAGUGCUAAAUGAGAGCAGGACCAUUUAUUUGGAUAUAUAUUAUUUACAUAAACAUUUAUUUAUUUAUGUAAUAUUUAAGGGUGGAUAAAUGGUGUAAAAGACAAAUGAAGAAAAUGCAGACUUCAAAGAAUAUCUCCUUUGUGACAAAACAAAUCCCACUGGCAAAACAUCUAAAUUAGGAGCAGGACAGCACCAAUCCAAUCUGUUACUGGUUAUUUAUUUUUCCUUUUAUCAAAAGCUUUUGUAUUAUGCAUGAACUCCCUCAGGAGUUGGACCAAUUCAAGACGAAGACAAAAGCUUGUAUUGUGCCCUGCAAGAACAAUGAGGGUUUUCACCUUUAGACAAGAAUAUGUAUCAACUCUCUUGCGCUGUUUAUCAAUCCAAUUAAAGUAAUGACCAUGAGAAUGGGAGAGCCAAAUCUCCACAGAACAAACUGUUUUCAAUCACAAUCAAACAAGCCUGUAAUUUUUCUUUUUCUUUUUUUUUUUUUUUUUGUAACCCUGCCAUUGGAAGUCUCUUUGGAAAAGUGACACCAUUUCUUUAUUGUCUCUAGUAGGUCAGUGGAUUCUUCUCUGUUCAGGAUUAUUUGCUGCUGAAUCUGACACAAGCCGCCACUGCAAUGGGGGCAAAUCACACAUGGAUUGCCUUAGUAUUUCUGACAAAUAUUUUAUAAUCUCUCUCCUCCUAUUCAUCACAUCCUUGCAGGAAAUUGCCUUUUUCUUCUUUGGCCAGUGUGGGUUUGAUAAGGGACAUAGAUUUUUUCAUCCUUCAGCAUUUAUCCAUAGAAACUUCAGUUAUCUAAAUGUAAGAUGUUUAUGAGCUGUUUUUUUCAAGUCUUGCCACUAUUAAUUUUUUCCAAGUCUUGCCACUUUCCCUGCCACACUGUUCAAAAUAUUUUUGAUCAUGCAACAGAAUAAAUAGAUUCAUCUGCAGUUUUCUUAUAUUUAUACUGUAUACUUAGCCAGAAUGUAUAGCACGAUUAAUCUAAGGUUAUCAGAUCCACAAGAUGUGUAUGGCUGUGGAUUACACCAUUUAUUUCAAGGCUACUUAUGUAAAUAUGUCAUUUCUAUUUUUUUUUUUUUUUUUUGUGAAAGUUGAAAUUAUGUGAAAAGAAAAAGACUGCAAAGUAAUGUUAGGGACAUAAAACUAUACUGCAAUUGAUUGUACAAUUCAGGGGUCAUUUAAUCAUUAGUUUAACCAGUUCAUCGAAAAACACUGGUUCCUUCAGGAACAAAACAAGUGAUUCUAGUUUACUAAUGUGCUCCCUCAUUUUAAUUAAAUCACGGCCUCGAUUUACUAAUUCUCUUCCUUGUAAACAAAUGACAAUGUGGCCAUGAUUUACUAAUUUGUUCUGGCAAUUUAAUAAAUCAUGGACAUUAUUUAAAUAAACUGAGGAGUGUUAUUCCAAAUUCAGCCACUGUCUUUACUGGGAGAGUCACUGAGUGAUUGUUCUAAUUAAUAAAACAGCAUUGAUUAAUUCAGGAAAGACACAAGUGAAUGCAUGAGUAAAUCACUGAAUCAUUCCCUCAACCAAACUGAUUCAUUUAAAAACACUGAUACAUUCAGCAACACCCACUGUGUGUUGAUUGGAGAUGGUUAAUAAUAGUUUGGGUUUGUUUGGAGCUAUUUUCGGUGGCAAGGCAAAAACAGACAUAACAACUGGCAAUAUUAUGUCUAAAAUGUAUAUUACCGAAAUGAACUUGUUUAUUGGAUUAGUGAAAUAUAAACUUGCAAUCAAGCUGUUGGUCAGAAUAUCAUCAACAUCACUUUUGCUACCACUCCAUCAGUACAUACCCCCAUUAAAAGGGGUGUCCCCAUAUUUUAAUUCUCUUUUUAUAUUCUGUUAUGGAUAUACAUUGUCUUUACCUGCAGGACACAAGCUGCACAUGCAAUAAAAGGUGCAUUUGCUAACAAAACAUUGAAGACAUUUUGUCCAUUUCAUUUCCUGAAGAGGACUGUAUGAGAAAUAUCAACCUUAUCCAGUGCUCUUUUUGUCGUCUGUCUUAUAAAGAAUCACAUUACUAUUUAACUGUGAGAAACUGCUGCAAAUAUUCAUUACGUGAGUGAACUGUCCAAAUCAAACUGAAUCGCGAACAAUUUCAGACCUUUUUGCAAAGCCACUUGACCAAUUACAUCAAAAGAGUGAUCAAAUCAUUCACACAUCUGUUAGUUCUGAUAGAAAACACA
ensembl:lncRNA